rnacentral:rRNA from 1 species
CGGCACGGGUGGAGUAACACGUAUCCAACCUGCCGUCUACUCUUGGACAGCCUUCUGAAAGGAAGAUUAAUACAAGAUGGCAUCAUGAGUUCACAUGUUCACAUGAUUAAAGGUAUUCCGGUAGACGAUGGGGAUGCGUUCCAUUAGAUAGUAGGCGGGGUAACGGCCCACCUAGUCUUCGAUGGAUAGGGGUUCUGAGAGGAAGGUCCCCCACAUUGGAACUGAGACACGGUCCAAACUCCUACGGGAGGCAGCAG